UUCAGAUGAGAACGUCACCCCAUUCAAUCCAAUAGAUUUUAUAGAAAGCAUAUUAGACUACGGCGACGAAGAGAUUCCAACUCUGAAUCCAUAAAACAGAUUUGGUGAUUUCAGCAACCCUCUUUGGAGACAUCGACAUCCAAUUUUGGUGGUUUCAUCAAUAGCCGCCAAAGGAUUGAAGCACAUAUUAUAGAUGAGAGAGAGAAAACACACCGGAGGGACCCCGGUAAUCCAGAUAGGGCUUUUUUGGAUGGGAAUAUGAAGAAUUUGAUCAAGUGAUGUUAAAGGCGCUGGUAUUCUCUCUACCCUUUCUACAACUGUUGAUGUGCCAGUCAACCUGUUUGUCAAGAAAUCAUCUACCGUUUUAAGUGUUAGUUGAUGAAUAAUUGCAGUUAAAUUAAAAGAGAGUUUUAGAACUAUGUUUGCUAUUAUUCAUACAGUGUUCUAUGACCAUGGCCUAAUGAAAAUUAGGUGAUACGUUUGAACCUGCAUUUUAUAAAAUAUUCAAAUAUUUUAGGACAUAUAUGUGGGUGUGUUAGGUUGUAAUUAAAAGAAAGAUAUUCUUAGACCAUGGAAUGUAUAUGAUUUUGUUGCUUUUAAUGGCUCUGAUGGUGUUAGGGUUGUGUGGCGGCAACCGCCGCCCUAGCGGCCACAACCGGUCGUGGCUACGGAGGAUCUAGAUGCGAAGGUAGGUGAAUUUGUUUGAGCGUUGACUGGCGACCGUAAGAAGCUAAAGUUCUCGUGACCUAAAGAUAUUCACUAUCCAGUUAAUUUAUUUUUUCUUAAAAAGCAAAAAUAAUAAUGUUAAAAAGUAAAAAAUAUAUAUAUAUAAAAAAUGGGGUUGUAUGGUCAUUGGUGAUGUUGUUCUAACUCCAGCCCUUUCAGGUUGAAAAUGACGUCUCAUAGUGGUGUUCAACAAACUAACAGAGAUAUAGAGAUAUGUGAUAAAAACCAUUAAGGUUUUUAUAUAUGUGAUCUGAGCGGUCGUGUUGGGUCGAUUCUGGUACGGGGGCUUUAUAUUUCACUACGGAGAACCAGUUACAAGUCGAUUUAAAUUGACCCAUUUGACACACAUAUAUAUAUAUAUACACUAUGUAAAACAUUUCCUUAGAGUAUGUGUUAUGGGGCGGCAUGUGAGGGGCGGUAUGCCUCUUCGCGCCUGCAUAGCGCCGGCACACCGCCACGGAGGGCGCCAUGGCUGGAAAAAAUGGAGGAGGCGCGAUGGUGAUGGCGCCGCUACUCUUGUUCCUUUCCAAAAUUCCACCAAUCAGAAACAAGCAAUUUUUUUUUAUAUUAAUUAAUAAAGUUGAAAAUUAUUAAAUAGGUAAUGAUGGGUAGGGGCUUUAUGACUACGGGCUCUAGUGUUAUAACGCCCCAUAAAGCCCUUGUGUGACGUGGCACGACACGUGUCGCAUAACGCCCCACAAGGGGCUUUAUGACUACGGAUGGCCUUAGGAGGACUUGAUAGUAAUUUCCAUAAAAAUUUUUAAGACGGCAGACGAAAGAUCAUAAGUUCUUAACCUAAUCUUCAUCUCUUUCUCCCAAAUUUGCCCCCAAUUCAUUGUCAGUCGCCAAACAGAUCAAGGAAUUAUAUGUAUAAUAUCAACCAGCUGAACAGGGGAGAUGCAAACAUCAGUGCAAUUACUAAUUCAAUCAAGAUUGAAAUCAAUUCUUCCCCACGAAACUGAAAUCAAUUACUGAUAUCAUCAAUAAGGCUUGAUGGAUGAAACUGAUAUCACACCAAAAGCCACCAAAACCCUACUAUUUCAAUCCCAUAAAUCCGAUCAAUUCUCCCUCUCCAGGACUUGGACCAGCCGAUCGAUUAUCUCUUCUGGAAGUGACACAGUUCCUCUAAUAAAAAAGAUGUUUGGUAAAAAUUUGAUCUAUGAAGAAAACCCUAACGGUGGUAGCUGUGAAGCAACCAGUAGAAUCUCAUUUUUCAGUUAGUAUAAAGAUAUCACGCAGUUUUAGGGGGUGUUUGGAUGCACCAUUAAAUUGAUAAUGGUUGUUUGGAGUUGCAAUUAUCAGUCUUGAGAACUCUACAUGGUGUUGCUUCCUGCUGGAACUUUCAGUUCAGGUGAGCUUUCUAUUUUUACUAUUCAAACCCAACCACUUUAUGUGGUGCAUUUUUAUGUUUUAGAACUUAAAAUAUAAAAAAUAAUCCCAUAUUAUUGUAUUUGUUGGACCUUUAUUCUGGGCAUACGGACUCCGGAAUAUCCAACUCAAGUGUUUCAGUGAAGUCCGGGGGGUGCUAACCCUGGAUUGUGAGCCUAAACGUAUUAGGACCAGGGUUUCAAGCUUAUUUUGGACUCAACCCGGCCUAGGAGUGGGCUUGCGGAAAAUAUGUAGGACUAAUGGACAUUUAGGCUAAAGCAUGCCAUUUUGAGUUCGUUUGGCCUUUUCUUUAACCUGUCUCGGGUUUUAACAAUUGAAGAUGCACCAGACGCUUUGUACCGUUGCCGUGGCAGAUCUGCGUUCAAGUUGAUGAUGAUGCAGGCUGGGGCUAUAGUCGGUCCGACUGACAGAUCUAUUGUGGCUAAGUCCAGGUUGCGUCAAACAUUGCUCAUGAUCGUAAUGUGCCGUUAAAAGUUCUUGUUGUAGACCAAAAAAACUAGAAGUUAAUCAAUCAAUUUUAGGAGAGGAUGAAGAUGUGACUCUAACCUAUGAAGAGCCUCCUACUCGGCCUAAACAUGAAGCUGAGAUUACAGGAAGAUUUCCCAGCACUACUUCAUUGUGUGUCCAGCAUAUACACAUCUGGCAAGAACGAUAGUAUUAUGACUGAACGUGACACUAAUGAAAGAAACUAACAUAAAGUUCGGGGGAAAACAAGUUUCGUUUGUUUUUGGGUGGAAACCAUGUUCACGCAUAGCUUAAAGGGUCUAAUUCAGGUCAGCCCGCAAUGUUAUACAUUUUCUUUAACGGACCGUCCAUAAUCUUGAACAUUGUUCAAAGCCAUGUCGGUGUUGAGACCAUUAUGAUGGAUAAUCUCCUCAAGCCGACAACGGAAACGCUCACGACGCCAUAUCACGUUUCAACGAGAUGAUUCGCAUCGGUCUGACGCCAGACGAGGUGACGUUUCUCGGCGUUCUGUCAGCUUGUUGCCAUGGCAGUUUGGUACACGAGGAUCGUGAAAUUUUCACCCAAAUGACAUCGAAGUUCAACGUUUUGCCGAAAUGUAAACACUACUCGUGUAUGCUAGACCUUCUUGGUCGGGCUGGGUUGCUGAACGAAGCCGAAGAGGUUAUAAACAACAUGCCGAUUAAACCGGAUGACGGUGUGUGGGGAGCGUUGUUUUUUGCGUGCAGGAUUCAUAAUAACAUUGAGAUGGGUGAACGGGCGGGGUUUAAGCUUCUUGAACUGGACCCGAGUGACGAUGGGAUUUAUGUGUUGUUAGCGAGUAUGUAUUGGGAAGCGAUGAUGUUCGAGAAGUCGAUGUAAGUGAGGAAGUUGAUGAGGAUACGAGGGGUAGAUAAGACGCCUGGUUGCAGUUCGGUUGAGAUUAAUGGACGCGUUUUUGAGUUUCUAAUUAGAGACAAAUCGCACCCUCAAAAUCGAGAAAUUAGUGAAGUCUUGGUUCAUUUGAUGAAACAACUUGUUGGUUUUGAAGAUUUAGAUUGUCAAUUCGUUCUACUGUCAAGUGCUUAGUUAAAUGGCAUCAACUGCACCUGCAAGUAAAUCAGCAAGAAAUAUCGAGAUUUACAACAUUCAAGCACCUUACUAGCGUUAUCUUUUCUAGAGGUGGUAAAGUAGAUGGGUUGGGCUGGGCUGGUCGGACCUGAAACAUGAGGCUGCUGCAAAGUUGCAAAACCAAAACGUUCAUAAAAGCUUUCGGACGCGAAGAAAGCUGGUAGAUUGUGCAGUUUUAGUUAAACAAAGCUGGUUAGUAACACUUGUAUGGGGAUCUCUUAUUUUGCUAAUGCAGUGUUUUUGUGAUUGUUGGAUUCUGUAGAACUCAAUAGAAGUUCUAUAUCAUUUUUCCAUAUUCGUAAACAUGAAUCCGCUAUAUCACGUUCGGACAGAGCAAAAACAAGAGCUGCCAAGGUUGGGAAAGGGUUAUUAAAGAAUUGUUAUGCCCAGAAGCUUGCUUUGCAGCAUUGGCUUGAGGCGGUAGUGGAAACCGUGGUUUUACAUGAUUUUUCUAACAUUGUUUAUAUCUCAUCUCUUUUUAACUGGUAGCAUUGUAAGAAACUUAAAAUAUCAGUUUCAACAUAUAUGAUUUUAUAAAAAUUAAAAUGUACAGAACUGCAUUAAAUAGAAAUCGAAACUGCAGUAGAGGUGGUGGGGGUUCUGGAUCACAAGUGAUGUUUAUGUUUGUAAUGAAAAUUAAUUACUUUGUUGAAUUUUACCCUUCACAACAACAAAUGAAUGUAAGGAUUCUAUCAUGAGAUGUCCAAAAUGUUAAUUAAAAGUUUAUUCUUACUGUUACUCUGGUAUUUUUAUUGUUAUUAUUUUUUGAAUCACUAUUUUUAUUGUUAAAAAUUUAAUCUCUGGGAUUUGAACCCAAAAUCUCCCCUUCCCAAACCUUUGUGUUUAAACCUUUUGACUUUGCCAAUUGACCACCGCCCUAUUAAGAGAUUUAAAUGUGAUUACAAAAAUCUUUGUAUAAUUAAUAGAUUGAUUUUGUUAAUCGCGGUUAUUUGUAUUAAGGGUGUUCAUAAAGACAUAAACCAUGUCGAAUCAAUGUGAUUUCUAUUAUAGGUGUCUAUCAACUAUGUCGAAUCGAAACAAAUCAGUUGGUUCAAUCGGCUCUAAGAAGUUGGCUCGAUCUUGAAACGACUAAAGGUGGUUGGGGUAUAUGUUGAAAACAAGAGGCGAAUUUUAGUGACACUGUAUAAUUUCUUGUGAUAUUAGUCGGGACACCCGCCGCAACGCGCGGGCAUUCCCACUAGUAUAUAUAUAGGGUAGGGAUCCUAAGAGAAGUCCACCCUAUUUGAGAAACAUAAGAAGCAUCCUGAACCACACAUUUUCCUAAGUUUUUCGUAAUAUACACAUAUGUAUAGUUUACAUUUGACUAUAUACAUAUGUGUAUAAUUCAAUAUACAUAUAUGUAUAUAGUUACUUUUAAACUAUACAUAUGUGUAUAUUACGAAAAGCUUAGGAAAAAUGUGUGGUCCAGAAUGCUUCUCAAGUUUCUCAAUUAGCCUAGUGCUUCUCACAUGAUCCUAACUCUAUAUAUAUAUAUAGUAAUUUUAUGUUUAGGUAAGGGGUUAUGAAUUCCGAAACUGGAAGAACUGGUGUCGAAAAUAUGGCUGGAAGCCGUUCCUGGGGACUUUUAAAACCCUGUGCUAAAGAAACUUAGUGAAUUUGUUGAGGGUGAAAUAUAAUGUCUCAUGCCAGUUUUCCUUUCGCAACAUUUUAUCAGGAUCAAUGAAUUGGAGAACUAAUAACAUCAUCUUUUUACAUUCCCAAUCGCGUAUGCAUACCAGGUCAAAUGAAUGGAAUAUGGGUGUUUUAUUUGAAGGGAUCUCAACAGGCUAUCAUUGGAAGGGGUAUUGAUACGCUACAACGGUAUUACUGCUAACAGCGUUGUUUCCUGCCCAACAUUCCCUGAGAUUGCAGAUAAGGUUUACGACAUCUUACAUGGAAGAGUGUGGGCGGGUCACAAUAUAGUGGAAUUUGAUUGUGUGAGGUUAAAGGAGGCGUAUGCUCAGAUAAACGGAAAGCCUCUUGUACUCAAGGGAACCAUGGAUACAUUGAAAUUGUUGAUUGAGACGUUUGGGAGGAGAACCGAUAACAUGAAGAAAAUUAUAUAUUCAGAUGGCCACUGUAGCGACAUAUUUUGGACUUGAACAGAAAAGUCAUCGGAGUUUAGCUGAUGUUCGAAUGAAUUUUGAGGUUGUCAAGCUUUGCGCAUCAGUUCUUUUCUUGGAAUCAAGCCAACAAGAUACUGAAAACAAUUGGGCUUCUUUGAAUGCUGGUCCCAUUAGAAGCUCUAAUCGAAAAUCCACUCUAGAGGUAACACACUCGAACAUAAGCUCAUUCACCUCAACUGAAACCCGUACGGUUCCUGCAAAUCUACCAAAUCCAGUUGAAUCUGGUAACGCUCAACCCGACCCGUUUCACACAGGCCCAUCUGUAGACAGAAUGGAGAUUGUAACUCUUCAGUAAAAUGAAGCUAUGGUGGAAGAAUCAUCUACCACCUAUCUAAUGCUUUCAGCAACGACAAUGAAUUCAUAGACCCUGAUUCAGUUCCAAUGGCUUCAAUAACUUAACCGUUGCUCCCUUUGUUAACGGGCCCCACAAGAUACAAAUAUUUCACAAAGACAUCCCUAUGCAGAGUCAUUGCGCAGGCGUGGGAAUACUUUUGGAUUAAGCACACAUUUUGUUGAUCAUGCUGGAAAUCCGAUCCUAAGUUUUGUAGUCAGUGCAAGUUCUUUGAAUCUCUGUAAGAUACUUGAUGCACUUUAACCUUUCAAACAAUUGUUAUUUUAGUAAGCCAAACAACUGUUAUUUUUAGUAAGCCAUGUGCAUAUUGUGUUGUAUGUAUCGAUUUUAUAUUACGAUUUUUUAAAUUA